ensembl:lncRNA
AUGUUUUUAUGGACUCCUAUAACAAAAGGCCUAAAAUUGGAUCCUAAGGAUGUAUCGCCAUUUGAAGGUCACUUUGGAGUGAAAACAAUCAUGGCCAUCAUACUGAAGGGUCAUUCCAAACCAAAGUGCUCAAAACUGGCCACUUCAAAUGGCCCUUCAGAAUGGUGCGGUGGAACCUGGAGACAGGAGGUUAAAUGUGGAAAGUGGGUCUUCUGGCCGUGGGCAGCCAUCCACAGUCCUGGCGCCACAACUGGCCUCACCUGUCUGCUCCGUUUGAGUUCUGACAGCCGAGGAACACUGAAACUGGGAACGGGGAGUUCAUUCAUUCAUCCCAGCUGCAGACAACAUCCUAUUCAUUUGGUUACCAAGCCGAGUGUCCCCUGACGGGUGUUGUUUGUAAACCACACCGCCGGCGAACAGGACUCGUGGCUUUCUGAAUUCGGCGUCUGCUGGGCUCGUUAGUGGAGGGGGAUGAAGGGAGUGGGCGGGGUUUCCUGCAGGAAGGAAGUCAGCUCUGCGGAGGGCCUUAUUGCCCCCUGGGGAAGAACGCGAGCGCACACCCUAAACCAGCCCACUCCACCUCGCUUGGGCUCCUUUACCUCAAUGUCACCUGACACUUCCCAGAAUUUUCCUCUCACUGGGGUUUCAGGCAUCACAGAGCCGGUGUGGAGGUGGAAAUGAAGAGCGGACGGUACAUACUGACACAGUGCCAACCUACAGAUGAAAUAAUAAUAAGGUUUUUUCAGACACAGAGUCAAGGCCUGGCUCUGUGUGAGUGUGUAUGUGGCAGGUGAAUCGAGAACAUUUGCCAGCCCUAAUACAGUUUUUUUUUUUUACUAACUGUGAAAGUGCAUUUGACAUUAUUUAUUUAACAUUUAUAUUUUACAUAAAUAUACUGACCAAUUGCACUGCAUUAUCC